rnacentral:rRNA from 1 species
GCAGGGUGGCAACCCAGUAAUCAGCACAAGUUAAAAUGUGGGCAACUCGGCAGUCGUUGGCAGGCACUUUGGUGACUCUAGAUAUCCUCGGACCGAUCGCACAUCCCCAUGACGGCGACGACGCAUCCGGAUGUCUGCCCUAUCAACUUUCACUGUUACUUUCUGCACCUACCAUGGUGACCACGGAUAAUGGGGAAUCAGGGUUUGAUUCCGGAGAGGGAGCCCGAGAAACGGCUACCACAUCCAAGGAAGGCAACAGGCGCGCAAAUUACCCAUUCCCAACGGAGGUAGUGAC